UACGUGAGGGGCGAGCGUUGUCCGGAUUUAUUGGGCGUAAAAGGCUUGUAGGUGGCCACGUCAAGUCGGAUGUGAAAUCUCCCGGCUCAACUGGGAGGGGUCAUUCGAUACUGGCGGGCUCGAGGCCGGUAGGGGGAAGCGGAAUUCCCGGUGUAGUGGUGGAAUGCGUAGAUAUCGGGAGGAACACCAGUGGCGAAGGCGGCUCCUGGACCGGUUCUGACACUGAGGAGCGAAAGCGUGGG
rnacentral:rRNA from 1 species